AUUGAACGCUGGCGGCAGGCCUAACACAUGCAAGCCGAGCGGUAGAGAGGAGCUUGCUUCUCUUGAGAGCGGCGGACGGGUGAGUAAUGCCUAGGAAUCUGCCUGGUAGCGGGGGAUAACGUUCGGAAACGGACGCUAAUACCGCAUACGUCCUACGGGAGAAAGUGGGGGAUCUUCGGACCUCACGCUAUCAGAUGAGCCUAGGUCGGAUUAGCUAGUUGGUGAGGUGAAGGCUCACCAAGGCGACGAUCCGUAACUGGUCUGAGAGGAUGAUCAGUCACACUGGAACUGAGACACGGUCCAGACUCCUACGGGAGGCAGCAGUGGGGAAUAUUGGACAAUGGGCGCAAGCCUGAUCCAGCCAUGCCGCGUGUGUGAAGAAGGUCUUCGGAUUGUAAAGCACUUUAAGUUGGGAGGAAGGUCAGUAGCUUAAUACGUUGCUGAUUUGACGUUACCGACAGAAUAAGCACCGGCUAACUCUGUGCCAGCAGCCGCGGUAAAAC
rnacentral:rRNA from 1 species